UCAAAAGUCAGUCGGGAGCCCUAGUGGCUGCCGUCUACACCCAAGUCUUUUGUGUACUCAUUGUUUCCUCGGCGGCGUAAGUCGCCGAAUGGGCAAACUAAAACCUUUUUGUAAUUGCAAUCAGCGUCAUUAAAUAUAAUAAUAUUUA
rnacentral:misc_RNA from 1 species